rnacentral:rRNA from 1 species
UGCGUAGGUGGCGGGGUAAGUUUGAUGUGAAAUCUCCGGGCUUAACCCGGAAACUGCAUUGAAUACUAUUCUGCUCGAGGGUUGGAGGGGGGACUGGAAUUCUCGGUGUAGCAGUGAAAUGCGUAGAUAUCGAGAGGAACACCAGUGGCGAAGGCGAGUCCCUGGACAACUCCUGACACUGAGGCACGAAAGCUAGGGGAGCAAACA